rnacentral:rRNA from 1 species
UACGUAGGGUCCGAGCGUUGUCCGGAAUUACUGGGCGUAAAGAGCUCGUAGGCGGCCUGUCGCGUCGGAUGUGAAAGCCCGGGGCUUAACCCCGGGUCUGCAUUCGAUACGGGCAGGCUAGAGUUCGGUAGGGGAGAUCGGAAUUCCUGGUGUAGCGGUGAAAUGCGCAGAUAUCAGGAGGAACACCGGUGGCGAAGGCGGAUCUCUGGGCCGAUACUGACGCUGAGGAGCGAAAGCGUGGGGAGCGAACAGG